CUGCAUGACGGAAGCUGUUAAUUCUUCUGCCUUCCAAGGAGAAUGAGUAUUCCUUCAGUGCUAUAAAACGAGGAGGUUUCAGAGCCGCCUACCUUGAAGCACAGGCUGCGUGGUGGUAUGCUUCUCCAACAUGA